GCAGUGGUGGUUCACUGGUAAAAUCCUCUCCUUCCAAGAAGGAGACCUGGGUUCAGUUCCCAGCCAAUGCG
rfam:Loxodonta africana unplaced genomic scaffold scaffold_117, whole genome shotgun sequence.